UGAUAAAGCAUCUCAGUCUCCUACAUGCAUACAAUAAACAUAAGUUUGAAUGUCCACUGAGGAAAGCGUUAUCUUUGAUGUAUCGUCAAAUAUCCAUUCAUUAAGGAUGAUUUCUGACGACAGCGCUGCUCGGUGCAUUUGUUAGCUGCGUCAAUUGUUGUUGAAAGUAAAAAUAACUUCCAUUUACAAAAGCGUUUAUUUCUCAAUGUAAAAGUCUUUACUGAAGUGCUGACUCUUGUCGCCAUCUAAUGGCGGAACAAUGUAACUAAAAUCACCAUCUUGGGUAUGUGCAUUAUAAAUGUCAUCACUCUAUCUCAUUGUUGAUUGAAGAAAGCCAUGUUGCAACUGUUACAACUAUUAUACCAAGCUGAGCUCCUAAGAAGUGACUGAAGUAUUGAAUUGUGUGUUUUAAAAAAGUGUAUGAAUAUGUAUGGAUAUGUAGAUACAUAUAAUAAGUGAUAAACUGACAGCCUACACAGACUACACAUGGGCAACGGAUAGAAAAAUCUAGGUUUCUGCGUUGAACAUUCACAUGAAAAUGAGGAGGGGAUUGGCCGGAAAAAAUAUAUAUAAAAAAUAAAUAAAUAAAACACAAUACCCUGGGCACGAUUGCGUGUAUAUGCUAUUUAUAUAAAUGCUCACUGGAAAAUCCCACAUCAAGGCAUGUGAACUUCGGGAGCGGCUGAGGAGAAACUACUUUCACUUUUGAGAAGUGGAUAACUCAUCUCGUUUCAAGAAAAACUAACUGGAUCAGAACCUGUUUGCUGUCCCCAACAUAAUAGCUGUGCAUGAUGAGAUCAAUAUUAAUGCUAACAUCUUUUACUGUACAUACUUGGCUUGUUUGUGGUGAUUGCUUCUAAAUAAACCACGUCAUCUGGUUUUGGAAGUUGAACGUGUACAUCUGGUGUUAAAAACAGUAAUUCACUGUCAACAUGGACUUCUG